GCCUGGGUGGCUCAGUCGGUUGAGCGUCCGACUUCGGCUCGGGUCAUGAUUUCGCGGUCUGUGAGUUCGAGCCCCGUGUCGGGCU
rfam:Felis catus isolate Cinnamon breed Abyssinian chromosome A2, whole genome shotgun sequence.